CCUACGGGAGGCAGCAGUAAGGAAUAUUGGACAAUGGACGCAAGUCUGAUCCAGCCAUGCCGCGUGAAGGAUUAAGGCCCUCUGGGUUGUAAACUUCUUUUAUAGGGGACGAAAAAAGGGCUUUCUAGCUCGACUGACGGUACCCUAUGAAUAAGCACCGGCUAACUCCGUGCCAGCAGCCGCGGUAAUACGGAGGGUGCAAGCGUUAUCCGGAUUCACUGGGUUUAAAGGGUGCGUAGGCGGGCAGUUAAGUCAGUGGUGAAAUCUUCGAGCUCAACUCGGAAACUGCCAUUGAUACUAUUUGUCUUGAAUAUUGUGGAGGUGAGCGGAAUAUGUCAUGUAGCGGUGAAAUGCUUAGAUAUGACAUAGAACACCGAUUGCGAAGGCAGCUCGCUACACAAAUAUUGACGCUGAGGCACGAAAGCGUGGGGAUCAAACAGGAUUAGAUACCCUGGUAGUCCACGCCCUAAACCUAUGGAUACUCGACAUUUGCGAUACACAGUAAGUGUNUGAGNGAAGACAUAAUAUACCACCNCGGAGACGACCGCGAGUAGUAACGUACGAAGAAGUAGAGACGAGAGACGNGCCGACGGACGACGACGAGGGAGGAGG
rnacentral:rRNA from 1 species